UCUCGGUUUUCUCUCACUCUUUUUUUAUUUCUCUUUCUACUUCCUAUCUUCAUCUCCUCCAUGAAACAAAUCUGAAAAGCCUCUCCCUCAGAAACCCCCUCUUCUAUAAUGGUGAAACUGAAAAAUAUCAAGUGAUUUCCCUGUUGUUUCUUCUAAACUCAAACCCCUUUCUCCAUCUUCAUUUAUCUCCCAAAACAAAAAUCCUUUGACAAAUCCAAAGAAAUCCGAAGAAAACAGUUUCUUUGUCACCUUCAAAACGAAAAACCCUGAACUAUAUUCAUUACCAUUAAGCAAAACCCCUAACUUCAUCUUCUCACCAUCUCUUAAAAAACCCAAAAAUUUCCAAUUUCAAAAUCCUAAUAAUCUUUCACUUCACCAGAUCUAUUCGAGGUCGUCUUAAACAAGUGAAGAAAGGCGAGUUUAGUAUUUUGCAGAUGAAAGAGAAGAUAUUUAUGAUGAAAAUUCUCUUUAUUAGUUUGGACAUUUGGAAGAAAAAAAUAUCAAGUUUUCUAAAGCUGUCCCAUGGUUCAGAUAUUCUGGAACUUACAAAGAACAUAAAUCUGGCCAGGAAAACAUCCAGCUUUCGGUGAUAGUUCUCUUUUCUAUGUGUUUCAUAUACACAUCUUAAUCUUAUGUUUUGUUUUAGAUGUUGAUUUGAUUUCUGAAUUGUUUUUUGUAUUUUUAUUUUCCGUGAUUCAGGUGUUGUAAGGGACUGCAAAUGCAGUUAAGAAGUUUGGGGUUUGUGUUGUUGAGUUUUAGAUUUGUUUUUUAAUUGUUGAAUUUUUUAAUUUUUUAAUUUUUUUUUGGAUUGUAUGUGGUUUUAUCCGUUUAAGUUAGUUGUAUGAAAUAUGAUUAGAUAUGAAUCUUAGAUGGUAGAUUUUGGUGUUUCAUGUUUGCAGGAUUUCUCCGAGGAUAAAAAGAGUAGUUUAUUUAAGUACUAAUUUCUCAAUUGAUGUUUUUUUGUUUGAUGGUCACUAGACAUCUCUGCACACUCUGUUCAGUUAGGAUUUAAAGCCUUUUGUGAUUUUGGUUUUAUAUCGAGUAAUUUGAUAUGAUAUGUGUUGUUAGCAUGGUGCGGAUGGUGUUUGAAUGACUUGUAGUAUAUGGUUUUUAGUUUGUUUCUUAUAAAAUUUGUUUUAUGUUGAAGGAUUGGAAGUCUAAUGGAACAGGUUUUGCCGCAUACUGUAAUUCGAUUUGAGACUAAGGAAUUGGGAAAGUUUACAUUUACCAAAUUGGCAUGAGCACACCUGGCCAAAGUUGUAAUGUGAACGAUGAAGGACCUUCGAGUAUGGUAGUAGAACUUUUAUCAGACCAAAAAGUAGUUUCAGGUUCAGGGGCGGAAGCACAGGUUGACUAAACCUGGCUGUAGCCUCCCCUUUUUUUCUCUAAAACCUCACCAGAGCCGGAAGAAGAAAGAAAAGAGGAAAGAAUCGGACGGACAGUUAGCUACCUAGUGUUCAGAAGAUGAACAAUAUUAGGGUGGAAACAAGAAGGUUAUCAUUUCUGCUCUAAACAAGGAUGCUGCCAUGUAUGUUGUAGCCAACUGAAAUAUGAUUGCUUCUCUGCUGCCACAACCGCUGUAUGCCCUUUUUUACAGACAUGAUUGUGAUGUCCUGCCAAACUAUUGGUCAUGAUGGGCUCUCCUCUGUGUUGGCCCGCAUUUGAUAUUCCUUGGUUUAUCCUAUACUCUCUCGUUGAACUUGCAAACUGUUUUUGAUUCCUUCUUGCAAUUGAUGGUAGCGCUCAACAUUGAUCUCUUCUCCCGUGUCUUUAGUAAUCGAAGGCAUAGAUGGUGAAGCAUUUCCUUCAAUUUCGUGUUUAAGCUUUCUGGUAGUUAAGCUUGUAAUAGAAAUAUAAAUGAGAGCAUUUGAAGUUGUCAGAUUUGCAACUUAAGUAUCUUAGAUAAUUAAGGUUGUAAAUUGUUACUAUAUUUUAAUAUAAAUUCGGUUUUAAAGUUA